GUCAUGGUGGCUUAGUGGUUAGCGCUGUCGCCUCGCAUGUCAGGGGUUGUGGGUUCAAAUCCCUCAUCUGCUA